rnacentral:rRNA from 1 species
GUAGUAACAAGGUCUCCGUAGGUGAACCUGCGGAGGGAUCAUUACACAAAUAUGAAGGCGGGCUGGAACCUCUCGGGGUUACAGCCUUGCUGAAUUAUUCACCCUUGUCUUUUGCGUACUUCUUGUUUCCUUGGUGGGUUCGCCCACCACUAGGACAAACAUAAACCUUUUGUAAUUGCAAUCAGCGUCAGUAACAAAUUAAUAAUUACAACUUUCAACAACGGAUCUCUUGGUUCUGGCAUCGAUGAAGAACGCAGCGAAAUGCGAUAAGUAGUGUGAAUUGCAGAAUUCAGUGAAUCAUCGAAUCUUUGAACGCACAUUGCGCCCUUUGGUAUUCCAAAGGGCAUGCCUGUUCGAGCGUCAUUUGUACCCUCAAGCUUUGCUUGGUGUUGGGCGUCUUGUCUCUAGCUUUGCUGGAGACUCGCCUUAAAGUAAUUGGCAGCCGGCCUACUGGUUUCGGAGCGCAGCACAAGUCGCACUCUCUAUCAGCAAAGGUCUAGCAUCCAUUAAGCCUUUUUUUCAACUUUUGACCUCGGAUCAGGUAGGGAUACCCGCUGAACUUAAGCAUAUCAAAAA